UACGUAGGGUGCGAGCGUUGUCCGGAAUUAUUGGGCGUAAAGAGCUCGUAGGCGGUUUGUCACGUCUGCUGUGAAAUCCCGAGGCUCAACCUCGGGCCUGCAGUGGGUACGGGCAGACUGGAGUGCGGUAGGGGAGAAUGGAAUUCCUGGUGUAGCGGUGGAAUGCGCAGAUAUCAGGAGGAACACCGAUGGCGAAGGCAGUUCUCUGGGCCGUUACUGACGCUGAGACGCGAAAGCGUGGGGAGCAAACAGG
rnacentral:rRNA from 1 species